rnacentral:rRNA from 1 species
GCGCAGCAGUCGCGAAAACUCCGCAAUACGCGAAAGCGUGACGGGGCCAUCCCGAGUGCCGUCCGCUGAGGAUGGCUUUUCCCUAGUGUAGAUAGCUGGGGGAAUAAGGAGAGGGCAAGUCUGGUGUCAGCCGCCGCGGUAAUACCAGCUCUCCGAGUGGUGGGGAUGUUUAUUGGGCCUGAAGCAUCCGUAGCUGGCUGGGCAAGUUCUCCGUUAAAUCCAGCGAUUUAAUCGUUGGACUGCGGGGGAUACUGUUCGGCUAGGGGGCGGGAGAGGCCGACGGUAUUCUCGGGGUAGGGGUGAAAUCCUAUAAUCCCGGGAAGACCACCAGUGGCGAAGGCUGUCGGCUAGAACGCGCCCGACGGUGAGGGAUGAAAGCUGGGGGAGCGAACCGGAUUAGAUACCCGGGUAGUCC